AAUAAAUGUCCAUAUGAACAUACGUUGUUUUCAAAGUUUGGAGAUGGGGCAAAGAUGAUUAUUGCUUGCUUAUAUGUGGAUGAUUUAAUUUAUACGGGAAAUAAUAAUGCCAUGGUUGAAAAUUUCAAGCAAUCUAUGAUGUGUGAGUUUGAAAUUUCUGAUCUUGGAAUGAUGCACUACUUUUUGGGUAUUGAAGCGGUUCAAUCCAAUGCUGAAAUAUUUCUCUGUCAAAAAAAAUAUGUGUUGGAUGUCUUAGACAGGUUCCAGAUGAAGCAUUGCAAUGUUGUCAACACACCAGUUGAGGUUAGUUUGCAAUUGUCAAAAGAUUCAGGAGGAAAAGAG